UCUGGCCUGGUUCGUAAACUGCCCAGGAUAAAAAACCAAGAACUU
rnacentral:ncRNA from 2 species